UAAUGAAAAUUAAAUAAUUUGAAACUAAUUAAUUCACUGAUUGAACUAAUCGGUGUUUAAUUUAAAUAAUGAAAACUUUUAUUCGUCGCCAUCUAGCGGCCAAGGUAAGGAAAGUAAUAGUAAAGGUAAACAAAUAGAUUGAAAGCAAAAAGUCAAAAACUGCAAAAGUGGUGGGGAGUCGAUAAUACGAAUUAAGUGUUAAAUGCUUACUCUUCAUUUUAUUAUAAAAUGUCAGUGCAAUUAUUUUACCUAUGAAGAGUUUGCUCUCAUGCAACCACAUGUCCACGACUGGUAAACGUCCUUCUAAUAAGACGUUGUUUUGAUGAGCUAUCGUUCUAGUCUUAAACCUUUGAAUAAUGUGCACGAUUAAACUAUUAUUAAAAUCUAGAUUACGCUUGAAAAAGGGUUUUCUUAACCUGGACCUCAUAUGGAAAGCUCUGCUAAAAUUUUCAUCCUUGUCAGACAAUUUUAUGACCUAUGCAAAGGUUUCAACAACCACAUUGAAGAUUUUCGAAGGGAAGCUGUGAAUCAAGAAAACUGUAAAAUCAAAUGGCAGCUGUGCGAGAAAGCUCUUGCCCAAUGUAUCAAUGUAGAAUCCUACCUUGAUGGAAUCAAUUACAACUGUGCCGUUCUGGGAAAACGUUUUUAACUCAUGUCAAGUCUUUCCUGAGGAGAAAAGACCCUAGCGGCAUUGGCUUUGCUAUUCGCCAUUCACAGGUUUGUUGUUUUUUUUUCCCUUCGCCACCUUGAUGACAAGGUUCUUUCAAGUUAUGUCUAGUCAUGUCUUUGAUUGAAUGACAUCAGUAACGUAAUUAAUUCUUUCUAUGUAUUUUUCUUUCAAUUUUCACGGUAUAAGCUAUCCCCUAUGAUCUUACUGGAUGACAUCGACGCAUCAUUGGACAACACAAUCAUCAGAAAAGUGGCUCAGUUCUGGCUCACCACAGAUCUUAAAACCACUCUAACAAAUCUCUACUCUUUACUGCAGAUACUUAUUACUCCUUCUAGGUUACAUUUUGAGAAAGCACUUUGAUUUUUGCCUAUUAACAAUAUAUUGAAUUUCUUUUUUAAAGUGACGAAAUUAAAAUGUAGACAUCAGACAGUUGGAAACGGAAAUUGCCAGAGAAGACAUAACAGAUAAAACAACAAGAAUUUGGGAAGAUUGAGAGACGUAAAGAAAAAGCAGAGAUUGAAAACCAAAUCCGGCAUAGGCAGUGGAAGAGCAGACAAAACUACUACACGAGCUGACUAACGAAGUCAAACAAUCCAAGAACCAGAUUAAUACGCUACGAAAUAACUUGGAAGAUAUCUCAAGAAAUCAAGUCAUCGAAGUGCACAAAGAAAUUCCAACUCAUGGAAGUCUUGAAGCCAGUUUGAAUGUUGUUGACAUUUUGGAAAAGAAAUCGGGAGCUAUGAUAGUCACGAAUGUGGAGGUCGUGGACGAGUCGGGUGAUAAGGUUAUUUCGCCCAAUUGUCUAGUUUCCUAGUCGGUGAUGGCGGUUUUGGUGGCAAACGUAACUCUGAGCACAUUGUUCCACAUGUCGAUCCUCCCAAGCGUAAACCCGACGCCUCCUUGACUUACAAGACUUCAAUCGACCAAGUGAGGAGUCA